CCUACGGGGGGCUGCAGUGGGGAAUAUUGGACAAUGGGCGAAAGCCUGAUCCAGCCAUGCCGCGAGUGUGAAGAAGGCCUUCGGGUUGUAAAGCACUUUCAGUGGGGAAGAAAGCCUUGGGGCUAAUACCCUCGAGGAAGGACAUCACCCACAGAAGAAGCACCGGCUAACUCCGUGCCAGCAGCCGCGGUAAUACGGAGGGUGCGAGCGUUAAUCGGAAUUACUGGGCGUAAAGCGCGCGUAGGCGGUCUGAUAAGCCGGUUGUGAAAGCCCCGGGCUCAACCUGGGAACGGCAUCCGGAACUGUCAGGCUAGAGUGCAGGAGAGGAAGGUAGAAUUCCCGGUGUAGCGGUGAAAUGCGUAGAGAUCGGGAGGAAUACCAGUGGCGAAGGCGGCCUUCUGGACUGACACUGACGCUGAGGUGCGAAAGCGUGGGUAGCAAACAGGAUUAGAUACCCCGGUAGUC
rnacentral:rRNA from 1 species